UGGGGAAUAUUGGACAAUGGGCGCAAGCCUGAUCCAGCCAUGCCGCGUGGAUGAUGAAGGCCUUAGGGUUGUAAAAUCCUUUCGUUGGGGACGAUAAUGACGGUACCCAAAGAAGCAGCCACGGCUAACUUCGUGCCAGCAGCCGCGGUAAUACGAAGGUGGCAAGCGUUGUUCGGAUUCACUGGGCGUACAGCGCACGUAGGCGGAUUGUUAAGUCAGAGGUGAAACUCCCGGAGCUCAACUUCGGAACUGCCUUUGAUACUGGCAAUCUAGAGUCCGGAAGAGGUUAGUGGAAUUCCCAGUGUAGAGGUGAAAUUCGUAGAUAUUGGGAAGAACACCAGUGGCGAAGGCGGCUAACUGGUCCGGUACUGACGCUGAGGUGCGAAAGCGUGGGGAGCAAACAGGAUUAGAU
rnacentral:rRNA from 1 species